GGGGAGCCGUAGCGAAAGCGAGUCUUAACUGGGCGUUAAGUUGCAGGGUAUAGACCCGAAACCCGGUGAUCUAGCCAUGGGCAGGUUGAAGGUUGAGUAACAUCAACUGGAGGACCGAACCCACUAACUUUGAAAAGUUAGGGGAUGACCUGUGGCUGGGGGUGAAAGGCCAAUCAAACCGGGAGAUAGCUGGUUCUCCCCGAAAGCUAUUUAGGUAGCGCCUCGGAUGAAUACCUACGGGGGUAGAGCACUGUUUGGGCUAGGGGGUCAUCCCGACUUACCAACCCCAUGCAAACUCCGAAUACCGUAGAGUACUAUCCGGGAGACACACGGCGGGUGCUAACGUCCGUCGUGGAGAGGGAUACAACCCAGACCGCCAGCUAAGGUCCCAAAAUUAUUGCUAAGUGGGAAACGAUGUGGGAAGGCUAAGACAGCUAGGAGGUUGGCUUAGAAGCAGCCACCCUUUAAAGAAAGCGUAAUAGCUCACUAGUCGAGUCGGCCUGCGCGGAAGAUGUAACGGGGCUAAGCAAUAUACCGAAGCUGCGGCAGCACGUAAGUGCUGGGUAGGGGAGCGUUGUGUAAGUGGUUGAAGGUGGUUCGGGAGGCA
rnacentral:rRNA from 1 species